rnacentral:rRNA from 1 species
GUCUACGGCCAUGCCCCCCUGAACAUGCCCGAUCUUGUCUGAUCUUGGAAGCUGAGCAGGGUCGGGCCUGGUUACUACUUGGAUGGGAGACCACCUAGGAAGACCAGGUGCUGUAGGCA